rnacentral:misc_RNA from 1 species
GACGAUGGCCAACCAGGGCGCGAAGAAGAGGAAGGAGGAGAACAAGCAGCACAUGACCAACCUCCUCCGCCUUAUCAUCGCCUGCAACGUGAUUUACGUCAUAGUGAGGAUGCUCAUAUUUUAUUCCAGUUUCACUUGGAAGCACUGGGUUGGUCUCUGCGUGACAUCAGCGGCCUAUUGGUUUUCCUAUAAACAACUGGCGAGUAUGGCAAAGCCAACAUACUCUGAUGGUGGAGAGCUUCUAGA